UGACAGACCGUUCAUCAAAAGCUGUUCCGACCAGUUUCUCCCGAAGGCCACAUGCUUACUUUGGAGACCUGCUAAAGGAGCUGUUUCCUGCUGCCAUAUGUGCGGAAGACGAGCCAAAGAGAUUCCAGGUUAUGAUUCACGGCAUCGAACCGCUGCUGGAAACACCCAUCCAGUGGUUGAGCGAACACUUGAGCCACCCAGACAACUUUCUCCACAUCAGCAUCAUCCCGGCACCAAGUGACUGAUUCCAGAAGAUCCAGUUGUCCGUCGAUGGAGAAUUAGGGAUACAGCAUCUGCAGAGACGUUCUGAUGGCACACCAUUUCUUCCUGUUUUCUCAUUCUCAUCCCUGCAGUGGCCUUAUCGAGCGAUGGUCAUCAAGCAACGGCGUUCUGUGCGCUUCACACGAAGAAGACUCUCUCGAAACGACUUCUCAGAUGGGUCCCCUGUUCUUGCUGCCUUUAAAAUUCUCACAUUCAUACAUUUGCACAAGCUCGAUGUGAUUGUAUCCCCUCCCCAUUAACUCUUUAACACUCCCGUUCCCACUCUCUAAUUUGUGAGUAACGUACGCUUAGACCCUCAGAUCUGUUAAUUAUCAGAAGGAAUCCUUUUUUGUGUUUAAUGAGGCCACUAAACGACCGCCAUGGGGCUUGAUCAUCAACACGUUUUACGUAUGCGUCCGGGUCAGAUGAGGUGUAAAAUGAAGAUGGAAAAAAACGAUGGAAAAAAAUAUCGGUGACUUCAUUCACCGGAUUAAAUGUGUCAGUGUCUGGUUUUGGCAGCCAUGUAGGGGGUCGCACAGCUCAGUGGAGGUGAUCAUCCCACGAGCCGAUUAGUCACGAUCCCAGACGAAUGUUAGUGGGAUAUAGCACAAACGAAGCUCUUUUUCCCGGCUUUCUUCUAAUUUACAUUUUUUUUUUCAUCCGCUUGGAAAUAGUUUUUCUAUUCAUUCAGAGCAAAUGUUUGAUCUUUGAAAUGGGUAUGUAUUGCAAGUCAGAGGCCAUACAAAUACAUUAUCAUAUCGCACUGUUUCCAACAAAUUAACCUUACAGUAUUUUUUUUUCCCCCUUAUUUAUUUACAACCUGUAGGCAGACUGGCUGUCUGUGUUUAGGGGGUUGUGGGGACUGUAGAUCAGUGCUGCAGACGACACACAGCUGAGAGUGAUUAUUCGUUUAGAGGAAUCGGUGAGUGUUUUACCCCAGACCGAGACAGAGAGACAGCGGGCAAAACCGCAGAGCUUACGCCACCACCAGGCGACUUCUCGGCAGACUGUUCUCGAGACAAUGCUGUUUGUGUACAAACUUUCAGCUGUUUAUAUCAUUCCUUGUAUGACUAAUAAUUACAGAAGAUGCUGCAACUCCACACUACUAAUAACACGGUUAAAACGAUAAUGAAAUGGUUCAAAUGUGCGUUUUCCUUUAUUUUAAUUGCGGUGAUUGCUUUUCUGUCUUUGCUAGAUUCAUUCAAAAGGCAUUUAAUUAAAACAAUAUUUUAUAGCUA